rnacentral:lncRNA from 1 species
GCCUGAACAACAUGCAUUUUAUUCCCACGACUUUUGGCCCACGACCUUCUAGAAUUUCCCCUUGGGCCUUCCUGGGGUGCGUUCCCAGAUGACGUCCGAUUGUUUGCCUUCGUGCGCUUCACCACCGGGGAUGCCAUGAGCAAGAGGUCCAAGUUUGCCCUCAUUACCUGGAUUGGCGAGAACGUCAGCGGGCUGCAGCGCGCCAAGACGGGCACCGACAAGACCCUGGUGAAGGAAGUGGUGCAGAAUUUCGCCAAAGAGUUUGUGAUCAGUGAUCGGAAGGAGCUGGAGGAAGAUUUUAUCAAGAGCGAGCUCAAGAAGGCCGGGGGUGCCAAUUAUGACGCCCAGACGGAGUAACCCCCGCACCCCGCGCCUUGCCAAAGUCAUCUGCCUGCUCCCCGGGGGAGGGGACCGCGGCCUCAGCUACCAGCCCAUCAGCCCACCAGGGAGAGGAGACGCGAUGAGAGGCAACGCCCGCCACCCCGUCCGCAACCCAGCUCCCCUCCCCGCUUCCCCUUGUGCACCUGCUGUGUCCCGUCCCAUGAAGCUCAUGGAACAUCUUUCUUUGCUUUUUUUUCUUUUCUCCCCCUGACCCCUUUCUUGUUCUAAACAAAAAUCAUUUGGAUGCCAAGGUCACGCACAUCACCAGAUCGGAGGUGCCUCCUGCGGUGACCCUCUCCUGGCAUUUCUUAACGCACAGGCAGCCUGCCCGGCCUGACCCAUCAACCUCGCGUCGCUUCUGGCGCCUGGGCCAGUGUCGCUCUCUUGUUUUCUUUUUUUUUGGCGCCCUCCUGCUUCCCACGGAGGAGGCAGCCACGUGGGGAGCCCGUCCUCAUCGUGCCCUUGUCGAGCCCCGCUGGCCAGGCUCACACCUCCAGGAGUCCCUCCGGAGGCCCCCCCACCCCCCACCUCCAUUCCAAGUUGCCUAAGCUCCAUGUCCAUCAGAGACGGUGCUCGGUGGAGAGAUGGGCAGCCCUGACUCAGACCGAAGGAGGAGAGAGGAAAAUCUGCCACCCGUCAGAAGCGGCCCGUUCCCCAGCCUUGGGAUGGCGCUCUCGGGAUGGCGGGGGGUGGGGGCAGAGGUCUGAGUCCAGAUUCGACGGGAGGUGCUCAGGGCUCACAUCCUCGGGCUCCCCAAGUGACGAGGACAUUAGGGGUGCAGAAUGGGCAUUUAGGUCAAAGCGGUCCUCUGCACGACAGCACAGACAGCAGGGGACAGAGGCUCCCUGCUCCGUCACGGUCACCACAGCUGUGUGUGCAGCGCCCCCCCCCACUGGGGGGGGGGGGAAACCAGAAAGUCUAUGGUUUUAAUCCUCGGUGGCACCUCACACAAAAAGGAUUUUUUUUUUUUUCAAAGAAAGAUGAGGUUGGCUUGGUUCUUCAUGCCCAUGUUAGGUAGGGCUCUUUUUCUCUUUUCCUUGCUCGUUUCGUCGGGGGACGUCUGUGCUGUGCUGGGGUGGUGAAGGCAUCUGCACUCAAAACGGUUUACAGAAAUAAAUUUUUGUUUUGUUUUGUUUUUCAAAAAA